rnacentral:pre_miRNA from 1 species
CUGAUAUGGAAUGGGAGAAUGAGCCUCCCAGAGGCGAGUGGAAAUGGGUGGAUGGGAGUGAACUUAAACCAGUCUGUGAUUGAGGUCGUUCCCAUGCCACCCAUUUCUAUUGUUUCUGGGGGUUUCUCCCUUUCCCAUCG